UACAGAGGUCUCAAGCGUUGUUCGGAUUCAUUGGGCGUAAAGGGUGCGUAGGUGGCGCCGUAAGUCGGGUGUGAAAUUUCGGAGCUUAACUCCGAAACUGCAUUCGAUACUGCGGUGCUUGAGGACUGGAGAGGAGACUGGAAUUCAUGGUGUAGCAGUGAAAUGCGUAGAUAUCGUAAGGAAGACCAGUGGCGAAGGCGGGUCUCUGGACAGUUCCUGACGCUGAGGCACGAAGGUCAGGGGAGCAAACGGG
rnacentral:rRNA from 1 species